UACGAAGGGUGCAAGCGUUACUCGGAAUUACUGGGCGUAAAGCGUGCGUAGGUGGUGAGUUAAGUCUGUCGUGAAAGCCCCGGGCUCAACCUGGGAAUGGCGAUGGAUACUGGCUCGCUAGAGUGCGGUAGAGGAGAGUGGAAUUCCCGGUGUAGCAGUGAAAUGCGUAGAGAUCCGGAGGAACACCAGCGGCGAAGGCGGCAUCCUGGACUGGUCCUGACACUCAGGAGCGAAAGCGUGGGGAGCAAACGGG
rnacentral:rRNA from 1 species